GACGAACGCUGGCGGCGUGCCUAAUACAUGCAAGUCGAACGAGAGCGACCGGUGCUUGCACUGGUCAAUCUAGUGGCGAACGGGUGAGUAACACGUGGGUAACCUGCCCAUCAGAGGGGGAUAACAUCCGGAAACGGAUGCUAAAACCGCAUAGGUCUUCGAGCCGCAUGGCUUGAGGAGGAAAAGAGGCGCAAGCUUCUGCUGAUGGAUGGACCCGCGGUGCAUUAGCUAGUUGGUGAGGUAACGGCUCACCAAGGCCGUGAUGCAUAGCCGACCUGAGAGGGUGAUCGGCCACAUUGGGACUGAGACACGGCCCAAACUCCUACGGGAGGCAGCAGUAGGGAAUCUUCCGCAAUGGACGCAAGUCUGACGGAGCAACGCCGCGUGAGUGAAGAAGGUUUUCGGAUCGUAAAACUCUGUUGUUAGAGAAGAACAAGUGCUAGAGUAACUGUUAGCGCCUUGACGGUAUCUAACCAGAAAGCCACGGCUAACUACGUG
rnacentral:rRNA from 1 species